rnacentral:rRNA from 1 species
ACUCCUACGGGAGGCAGCAGUGGGGAAUAUUGGACAAUGGGCGCAAGCCUGAUCCAGCCAUACCGCGUGGGUGAAGAAGGCCUUCGGGUUGUAAAGCCCUUUUGUUGGGAAAGAAAUCCUGUCGGUUAAUAACCGGUGGGGAUGACGGUACCCAAAGAAUAAGCACCGGCUAACUUCGUGCCAGCAGCCGCGGUAAUACGAAGGGUGCAAGCGUUACUCGGAAUUACUGGGCGUAAAGCGUGCGUAGGUGGUGGUUUAAAGUCUGCUGUGAAAGCCCUGGGCUCAACCUGGGAAUUGCAGUGGAUACUGGAUCACUAGAGUGUGGUAGAGGGAUGCGGAAUUUCUGGUGUAGCAGUGAAAUGCGUAGAGAUCAGAAGGAACAUCCGUGGCGAAGGCGGCAUCCUGGGCCAACACUGACACUGAGGCACGAAAGCGUGGGGGAGCAAACAGGAUUAGAUACCCUGGUAGACAU